rnacentral:rRNA from 1 species
CCUACGGGGGGCUGCAGUGGGGAAUAUUGGACAAUGGGCGAAAGCCUGAUCCAGCCAUGCCGCGUGUGUGAAGAAGGCCUUCGGGUUGUAAAGCACUUUCAGUGGGGAAGAAAGCCUUGGGGCUAAUACCCUCGAGGAAGGACAUCACCCACAGAAGAAGCACCGGCUAACUCCGUGCCAGCAGCCGCGGUAAUACGGAGGGUGCGAGCGUUAAUCGGAAUUACUGGGCGUAAAGCGCGCGUAGGCGGUCUGAUAAGCCGGUUGUGAAAGCCCCGGGCUCAACCUGGGAACGGCAUCCGGAACUGUCAGGCUAGAGUGCAGGAGAGGAAGGUAGAAUUCCCGGUGUAGCGGUGAAAUGCGUAGAGAUCGGGAGGAAUACCAGUGGCGAAGGUGGCCUUCUGGACUGACACUGACGCUGAGGUGCGAAAGCGUGGGUAGCAAACAGGAUUAGAUACCCGAGUAGUC